UAUUGUACAAGGCAGCUGUGUUACAAGUAGACUAGUUAGGUAGACUGGAGUUACACACGUGUAAAUUAGAUGGGGGGGCUAAACAAAUGGCUGGGGGAUGCACACAGAUAUUGUACAAGGCAGCUGUGUUACAAGUAGACUAGUUAGGUAGACUGGAGUUACACACGUGUAAAUUAGAUGGGGGGCUAAACAAAUGGCUGGGGAUGCACACAGAUAUUGUACAAGGCAGCUGUGUUACAAGUAGACUAGUUAGGUAGACUGGAGUUACACACGUGUAAAUUAGAUGGGGGGCUAAACAAAUGGCUGGGGGAUGCACACAGAUAUUGUACAAGGCAGCUGUGUUACAAGUAGACUAGUUAGGUAGACUGGAGUUACACACGUGUAAAUUAGAUGGGGGGGCUAAACAAAUGGCUGGGGGAUGCACACAGAUAUUGUACAAGGCAGCUGUGUUACAAGUAGACUAGUUAGGUAGACUGGAGUUACACACGUGUAAAUUAGAUGGGGGGCUAAACAAAUGGCUGGGGAUGCACACAGAUAUUGUACAAGGCAGCUGUGUUACAAGUAGACUAGUUAGGAAGACUGGAGUUACACACGUGUAAAUUAGAUGGGGGGCUAAACAAAUGGUUGGGGGAUGCACACAGAUAUUGUACAAGGCAGCUGUGUUACAAGUAGACUAGUUAGGUAGACUGGAGUUACACACGUGUAAAUUAGAUGGGGGGGCUAAACAAAUGGCUGGGGAUGCACACAGAUAUUGUACAAGGCAGCUGUGUUACAAGUAGACUAGUUAGGUAGACUGGAGUUACACACGUGUAAAUUAGAUGGGGGGCUAAACAAAUGGCUGGGGAUGCACACAGAUAUUGUACAAGGCAGCUGUGUUACAAGUAGACUAGUUAGGUAGACUGGAGUUACACACGUGUAAAUUAGAUGGGGGCUAAACAAAUGGCUGGGGAUGCACACAGAUAUUGUACAAGGCAGCUGUGUUACAAGUAGACUAGUUAGGUAGACUGGAGUUACACACGUGUAAAUUAGAUGGGGGGGGCUAAACAAAUGGCUGGGGGAUGCACACAGAUAUUGUACAAGGCAGCUGUGUUACAAGUAGACUAGUUAGGUAGACUGGAGUUACACACGUGUAAAUUAGAUGGGGGCUAAACAAAUGGCUGGGGGAUGCACACAGAUAUUGUACAAGGCAGCUGUGUUACAAGUAGACUAGUUAGGUAGACUGGAGUUACACACGUGUAAAUUAGAUGGGGGGGCUAAACAAAUGGCUGGGGAUGCACACAGAUAUUGUACAAGGCAGCUGUGUUACAAGUAGACUAGUUAGGUAGACUGGAGUUACACACGUGUAAAUUAGAUGGGGGGCUAAACAAAUGGCUGGGGAUGCACACAGAUAUUGUACAAGGCAGCUGUGUUACAAGUAGACUAGUUAGGUAGACUGGAGUUACACACGUGUAAAUUAGAUGGGGGGCUAAACAAAUGGCUGGGGGAUGCACACAGAUAUUGUACAAGGCAGCUGUGUUACAAGUAGACUAGUUAGGUAGACUGGAGUUACACACGUGUAAAUUAGAUGGGGGCUAAACAAAUGGCUGGGGGAUGCACACAGAUAUUGUACAAGGCAGCUGUGUUACAAGUAGACUAGUUAGGUAGACUGGAGUUACACACGUGUAAAUUAGAUGGGGGCUAAA